rnacentral:rRNA from 1 species
CCCAAUUCCUUUUGCAGCGCUUAAUUGCGCGGCGAAAACCUUACACACUAUGUUUUUUUAAUUUGAAACUAUUGCUUUGGUCUGGCUUAGAAAUAGGUUGGGCCAAAGGUUUUAUCAAAACUUCAAUAUUUAUUAUUGAAUUGUUAUUUUUAAUUUUAUGUCAAUUUGUUGAUUAAUAUCAAAAAUCUUCAAAACUUUCAACAACGGAUCUCUUGGUUCUCGCAUCGAUGAAGAACGCAGCGAAAUGCGAUAAGUAAUAUGAAUUGCAGAUUUUCGUGAAUCAUCGAAUCUUUGAACGCACAUUGCGCCCUUUGGUAUUCCAAAGGGCAUGCCUGUUUGAGCGUCAUUUCUCUCUCAAAUCUUCGGAUUUGGUUUUGAGUGAUACUCUUAGUCAGACUAAGCGUUUGCUUGAAAUGUAUUGGCAUGAGUGGUACUAGAUAGUGCUGAACUGUUUUCAAUGUAUUAGGUUUAUCCAACUCAUUGACCAGUAAAGUAUUUGUUUAUUACACAGGCUCGGCCUUACAACAACAAACAAAGUUUGACCUCAAAUCAGGUAGGACUACCCGCUGAACUUAAGCAUAUCAUAGCCGGGAAGAAA